UGUCCUCUAAAUAGGGACCAGUAUGAACGGCAACAUGAGAAAGAAACUGUCUCUUUAGGCUAGCCAAUGAAUCUGACCUGCCUGUACAAAUGCAGGCAUAAAAAAACAAGACAAAAAGACCCUGUGAAGCUUUAAAUGUAGAUCAAUAAACUGAUCAGCACAUUUUUGGUUGGGGCAACCAAAGAGAAAUAUAAACCUCACAACCAGUCAUAAGGCCAACAAGCCAACUGACAAAACAACAUAGACCCAGUAUUACUGAUCAAAGAACCAAGUUACUCCAGGGAUAACAGCGCUACAUUCUUGAAGAGUCCAUAUCAACAAGAAUACCUACGACCUCGAUGUUGGAUUAGGGUACCCAGAUGGCGCAAAAGUUAUCAACGGUUCGUUUGUUCAACGAUUAAAAC
rnacentral:rRNA from 1 species